AUUGAACGCUGGCGGCAGGCCUAACACAUGCAAGUCGAGCGAGCGGCGGACGGGUGAGUAAUGUAUGGGGACUGCCCGAUAGAGGGGGAUAACUACUGGAAACGGUAGCUAAUACCGCAUACUAUCGGAUAACCCAUAUGGGAUUAGCUAGUUGGUGAGGUGAUGGCUCACCAAGGCGACGAUCCCUAGCUGUUCUGAGAGGAUGAUCAGCCACACUGGGACUGAGACACGGCCCAGACGCCUACGGAGGCAGCAGUGGGGAAUAUUGCACAAUGAGCGCAAGCCUGGUGCGGCCAUGCCGCGUGUAUGGAGAAGGCCCUAGGGUUUUAAAGUACUUGCAGUCAGGAGGCGUUACCGACAGAAGAAGCACCGGCUAACUCCGUGCCAGCAGCCGCGGUAAUUC
rnacentral:rRNA from 1 species